CAUGAAGAAAUUCUUCCAGAUCGUCAAGGCUGACAUGGAGUUCAAGAGAGCGGGGCCCAGUCAGAAGCUCACAGACUCCGUGGGGUAACUGAGGCCAAAGAGGAAGGCUUAACCCACCUGGCUGUACCUACUCUGAGGAAGGACCAAUGGGAUGCCUGCAUCAGAGAGGCCAUUCUCUUGGGAAGAACCCAGAGGAGGGGGCCUGAGACCUCCAGGAGUGGCUGGAGAGCCAGAGGCAUGUCCUGAAACCCAAACCCAGGGAAACGGAGCACCUCCUGUGUGUCAUCAUCGAAUGGGGACUGUCAAUGUAAAAGAGAAGUCCCAGGACAGAAGCCAGGUGAAAGAAGGUGCGGUUGGCAUUUCCCCAAGCAUGGAUGGAUACCUGUGGCUGUGGAGCACUUCCCGCACCAGAAGACAACACAGACUCGGGGUUGGUGGGCUGCCGCCCCCAGCUGCAGAGGAGGAAAAGAGACAAGUGAAAACGUGAAGUAAAGGGUGGGUGCCAUGGGGGGCAGGACCUCCCCUGCCCCUCCCAGCACUGGAU